rnacentral:misc_RNA from 1 species
UUUGAUUUUCUGAAUGGAAUAGCUAUUCCAUGGCAUGAUGGAAUAACUAUUUCGAACGAUAUUAUUCUAUGUAAUAACUAUUACACAUUUAGAAUUUCAAUCAAAAUUUGAGAUUUUGGAAAAUAUAUUUCAUGGAAUAAUCAUUCCACAUUUAAAAUUUGAACCAAAGCUAAGAGAAGCUAUUCUAUUCACGUACUACUUCAUGAAUCAAAGCAUGGUAAGGAUGUCCAGUUUUGCAGGAGCGUUUAGACCAAGAAGGAUGCAAUCCCUCUUUAGAAGUGCUUAUGCUAUUUAGCUCUCAAGCAUAUUACUGCAUGCAAUGUGGUAUAUAUUGAGGUCAUUGUUUAUAACUCUUCUUCAGUAUCCAGGUUCAGGGAAUCAGGGUAGAUAUUCAGGUCCAUGGUAGCGCUUGUGUCAAUAAUUGUAUCCACUUGAUGUUUUUGUUUACCUCAAUAUAUCUAAUUGUCAAUCAAUCUCCAGAACAGGUCAUAUUGUGUAAUUUUAAGGUCAUGUUGUAUUGGAUUCAGGUUUCUGUGAACAAAUUUAUUCGUGUAUGUCAUGUAAUCCUGAUAUAUCCAAAAUUGCCACCUUUUCUAUAAGUUUUGGAAUGCGGAAGUAAGAUGAAUUCCUGCUUCAAUUUUAUCAGUGAAUACAAUUACAGAUCACCACAGUACCUACUCAAAAAGCAACAAAGGGUAACGCGGUUCUAGAUAUACAAAUGAGGAAAUAAAGAGAACAUAGCCCAAGGGAAUAUCCAAGUGGACUAGAAACUUUUACAGUACACAUAUGAACAUCUCCUCACUUGAUGAAUUGUCUAUAGGAACAUUAACAUCAGUUUAACCACACCAGAUUACAUCAGUAUGUUGACAACAAAAUCAUUUAUUUAAUAUCUAAAUCAUAUUAUUAUGGCUCAAAGCAGGAAUGUAGUAAGAUAACUUAUAUUGUCCCUCAUCCAAAGGAAACUAAUAAAGUCAGGGCUUAUAAUGUCAAAUGCAACCCCACCAAUUAACUUAAAUAGAAAGAUACAACUAAAAAUAAAAUUAGGAAAUAUGCAACAUACUGUCAUAAUUCAGAUAAAACAACUGACGAAGAAAUAAUUUGACAGUGCACAAAUUAUAUAUGAAGAGUGCAGAUAACAAAAUGACACAGAUGGCGAACAAUAGCACAAAAUUAGGAACUACAGGAAACAAAACCAUACCUGCCAUGGCCUUUCCCAGUCAA